rnacentral:rRNA from 1 species
UGGGGAAUAUUGCACAAUGGGCGGAAGCCUGAUGCAGCGACGCCGCGUGGGGGAUGACGGCCUUCGGGUUGUAAACCUCUUUCGGUUGGGACGAAGCCUUUCGGGGUGACGGUACCUUCAGAAGAAGCACCGGCCAACUACGUGCCAGCAGCCGCGGUAAUACGUAGGGUGCGAGCGUUGUCCGGAAUUACUGGGCGUAAAGAGCUCGUAGGCGGUUUGUCGCGUCGAUCGUGAAAACUCGCAGCUCAACUGUGGGCGUGCGGUCGAUACGGGCAGACUUGAGUACUGCAGGGGAGACUGGAAUUCCUGGUGUAGCGGUGAAAUGCGCAGAUAUCAGGAGGAACACCGGUGGCGAAGGCGGGUCUCUGGGCAGUAACUGACGCUGAGGAGCGAAAGCGUGGGUAGCGAACAGG